rnacentral:rRNA from 1 species
GACGGAGGGAAGGAAUGGGCAACGGUAGGUCAGUAUGCCCCGAAUAUCCCGGGCUACACGCGAGCUACAAUGGUUGGUACAAUGGGUAUCUACCCCGAAAGGGGACGGGAAUCUCCUAAACCAAUCUUAGUUCGGAUUGAGGGCUGCAACUCGCCCUCAUGAAGCUGGAAUCCGUAGUAAUCGCGUUUCAACAGAACGCGGUGAAUACGUCCCUGCUCCUU